rnacentral:rRNA from 1 species
UACGUAGGGUGCGAGCGUUGUCCGAGAUUAUUGGGCGUAAAGGGCUCGUAGGCGGUUUGUCGCGUCGGGAGUGAAAACCAUGGGCUUAACUCAUGGCUUGCUUCCGAUACGGGCAGACUAGAGGCAUGCAGGGGAGAACGGAAUUCCUGGUGUAGCGGUGAAAUGCGCAGAUAUCAGGAGGAACACCGGUGGCGAAGGCGGUUCUCUGGGCAUGUCCUGACGCUGAGGAGCGAAAGUGUGGGGAGCGAACAGG